UACAGAGGGUGCAAGCGUUGUUCGGAAUUAUUGGGCGUAAAGGGCGCGUAGGCGGUGCGGUAAGUCUUUUGUGAAAUCUCCGGGCUCAACUCGGAGUCUGCAGGAGAAACUGCCGUGCUUGAGUAUGGGAGAGGUGAGUGGAAUUCCUGGUGUAGCGGUGAAAUGCGUAGAUAUCAGGAGGAACACCUGUGGCGAAAGCGGCUCACUGGACCAUAACUGACGCUGAGGCGCGAAAGCUAGGGGAGCAAACAGG
rnacentral:rRNA from 1 species